ACGAACGCUGGCGGCGCGCCUAACCCAUGCAAGUCGAACGAGCGAGAGAGAGCUUGCUUUCUUGAGCGAGUGGCGAACGGGUGAGUAACGCGUGAGGAACCUGCCUCAAAGAGGGGGACAACAGUUGGAAACGACUGCUAAUACCGCAUAAGCCCACGGUGCCGCAUGGCACAGAGGGAAAAGGAGCAAUCCGCUUUGAGAUGGCCUCGCGUCCGAUUAGCUAGUUGGUGAGGUAACGGCCCACCAAGGCGACGAUCGGUAGCCGGACUGAGAGGUUGAACGGCCACAUUGGGACUGAGACACGGCCCAGACUCCUACGGGAGGCAGCAGUGGGGAAUAUUGCACAAUGGGGGAAACCCUGAUGCAGCGACGCCGCGUGGAGGAAGAAGGUCUUCGGAUUGUAAACUCCUGUUGUUGGGGAAGAUAAUGACGGUACCCAACAAGGAAGUGACGGCUAACUACGUG
rnacentral:rRNA from 1 species